CGCUCUGGUGUAUUAGUGGAUAGAGAGUCCGCCUCAAAUGCGGGAGGUAGCGGGUUCGAACACCGUCUGAGUCA